AGUGUUUGAUCCUGGCUCAGGAUAAACGCUGGCGGCGUGCCUAACACAUGCAAGUCGAACGCCCUUUUGCCGCAAGGGAAGAGGGAGUGGCGGACGGGUGAGUAAGACAUGGGAACCUACCCCAUCAGUGAGGGAUACCGGCGCGAAAGCGCCGACAAGCCCACAUACGCUCUUCUCGCAAGGGAAGAGGAAAGCUGGAAACGGCGCUGGGGGAUGGGCCUGUGGCCGAUUAGCUAGCUGGUGGGGUAAGGGCUCACCAGGGCGACGAUCGGUAGCUGGUCUGAGAGGAUGAUCAGCCACACUGGGAUUGAGAACGGCCCAGACUCCUACGGGGGGCAGCAGUGAGGAAUUUUCCGCAAUGGAGGAAACUCUGACGGAGCAACGCCGCGUGCAGGAAGACGCUUUUCGGAGUGUAAACUGCUUUUCUUCGGGACGAGGAUGGACGGUACCGGAGGAAGAAGCCCCGGCUAACUACGUGCCAGCAGCCGCGGUAAUACGUAGGGGGCGAGCGUUGUCCGGAGUUACUGGGCGUAAAGCGCCCGCAGGCGGUCGUGCGCGUUGCUGGUGACAGUCGGCGGCUUAACUGCCGGAGUGCUAGCAAGACGGCAUGACUGGAGGGCCUCAGAGGGACAUGGAAUUCCGGGUGGAGCGGUGAAAUGCGUAGAGAUCCGGAGGAACACCAAAGGCGAAGGCAGUGUCCUGGGAGGCACCUGACGCUCGGGGGCGAAGGCCAGGGGAGCGAACGGGAUUAGAUACCCCGGUAGUCCUGGCGGUAAACGAUGACCACUAGGUGUGCGGCGUAUCGACCCGCUGCGUGCCGACGCAAACGC
rnacentral:rRNA from 1 species